ACAAAGGCUCUUUUCAGAGCCACCCACCCUGUCAGAGAGAAGGCUG
rfam:Equus caballus chromosome 20, whole genome shotgun sequence.